rnacentral:tRNA from 1 species
AGUCUUAUAGUUUAUAUAAAAUAUUAAAUUGCAAAUUUAAUGAAUGGUUAAGGCUUA